rnacentral:rRNA from 1 species
CAAGAGCGUAUAUUAAAGUUGCUGCGGUUAAAAAGCUCGUAGUUGGAUUUCAGUCUAGGAAGGUUAACUCGCCGAAAGGUUGUACGUCGAUUUUCCUCAGACUUCGUCAGAAGCUCGUGCUGCACUUAACUGUGUGGUACGAUGUUCUGACCUUUUACCUUGAGGAAAGUAGAGUGUUUCAGGCAGGCUACCCAGCUUGAAUACAUUAGCAUGGAAUAAUGAAAUGGAUCUCGGUUCGAUUUCGUUGGUUCUAGAGCUGAGGUGAUGAUCAAUAGGAACAGGCGAAGGUAUUCGUACUUGAGAGUGAGGAGUGAAAUCCGAUGAUCUCUUAAAGACGAUCCGAGGCGAAAGCAUUUGUCAAGGAUGUUUUCAUUGA